rnacentral:rRNA from 1 species
UACGAAGACGAUCAGAUACCGUCGUAGUCUUAACCAUAAACUAUGCCGACUAGGGAUCGGGCGAUGUUAUCUUUUGUACUCGCUCGGCACCUUACGAGAAAUCAAAGUCUUUGGGUUCGUGGGGGGAGUAUGGUCGCAAGGCUGAAACUUAAAGAAAAUUGACGGAAGGGCACCACCAGGAGUCAACAGCUAGGCAGCUCUGCUCUGAAAAGCACCCCGAGAGGGUGGUGGUGUACCUACAUGUAUAGUGCUAGUCAGUAAUGGCAACACCCCCAAAUUGCGGGGAACCCCUAAUGCUCACGGUACCACACAGCGCCGAAAGGCCCUGCACGGUUACAAGCCACGAGAUGUUACAAUGGGCAAUCCGCAGCCGAUCCCUACCGCUACACCAGCUACGGGAGUGGUUCAGAGACUAGAUGGGAGUGGGAGGAAGCACCUCUUAAGAUAUAGUCCGUCCAAAAGCUUAUGCUUUUCGAAUCUCACGGGAGCCUGCGGCUUAAUUUGACUCAACACGG